AGGGGGAGCCUGGUGCACCAGGGGCAGCCGGGGCCUCUGGGCUAGAUGGACUGCCAGGGCAUACGGGAGCGAAGGGGGACCAAGGUGAUAUGGGACCAAAGGGAGAAAGAGGUCGGGACGGCUUCAGUUUCCCCGGCCCUCCAGGACCUCCUGGGUCUUCGGGACCGGUUAUCAACCUCCAGGAUGUCCUGCUCAAUGAUACAGAGGGUGUGUUUAACUUCUCAGGGCUGCUGGAAUCGCAGGGGCUCAGGUGGUAGACUUAUGCUUGAGUGGUG